rnacentral:rRNA from 1 species
AGUGAACGCUGGCGGUAGGCCUAACACAUGCAAGUCGAACGGCAGCACAGUAAGAGCUUGCUCUUACGGGUGGCGAGUGGCGGACGGGUGAGGAAUACAUCGGUAUCUACUUUUUCGUGGGGGAUAACGUAGGGAAACUUACGCUAAUACCGCAUACGACCUACGGGUGAAAGCAGGGGAUCUUCGGACCUUGCGCGAUUGAAUGAGCCGAUGUCGGAUUAGCUAGUUGGCGGGGUAAAGGCCCACCAAGGCGACGAUCCGUAGCUGGUCUGAGAGGAUGAGCAGCCACAAGUGAACAGAGAGACGGGACAGGCUCCGACGGGAGGCAGCAGUGGGGAGUGUUGGACAAUGGGCGCAAGCCUGAUCCAGCCAUAUCGCGGGAAUGAAGAAGGCCGGCGGGUUAUCAAGCCGUUUUGUUGGGAAAGAGAAGCAGCAGGUCGAUACCCCGCUGUCCUGACGGUACCCAAAGAAUAAGCACCGGCUAACUUCGU